rnacentral:rRNA from 1 species
CCAAUAGCGUAUAUUAAAGUUGUUGCAGUUAAGAAGCUCGUAGUUGAAUUUCGGGGUUAGUAGGUUGGCCAUGCCUCUGGUAUGUACUGGUCUCACUGAUUCCUCCUUCCUGAUGAGCCGUAAUGCCAUUAAUUUGGUGUUGCGGGGAAUUUGGACUGUUACUUUGAAAAAAUUAGAGUGUUUAAAGCAAGCUAACGCUUGAAUACAUUAGCAUGGAAUAAUGAAAUAGGACGUUCGAUCCUAUUUUGUUGGUUUCUAGGAUUGACGUAAUGAUUAAUAGGGAUAGUUGGGGGCAUUAGUAUUCAAUUGUCAGAGGUGAAAUUCUUGGAUUUAUUGAAGACUAACUACUGCGAAAGCAUUUGCCAAGGAUGUUUUCAUUAAUCAAGAACGAAAGUUAGGGGAUCGAAGACGAUCAGAUACCGUCGUAGUCUUAACCAUAAACUAUGCCGACUAGGGAUCGGAUGAUGUUAAUUUUUUAAUGACUCAUUCGGCGCCCUACG